AAUUUAUCUCAGGCAAGACCUCGAAUAUUUUCCUAACUGCUACCAACUCAGGCACUGCAUAGGACGAUGAUACAGAGGAUCGGCAACAGGAUCCUAACCUUCUUCUGCAAGCACUGUCUACCCCCUUAGAAGAUGGGCUGUGCCACACAUUAAUGCAUGCAGACGAAUGAGCACCGGAGUAACCUGGUCUGGCUAGUUGAAACCAGUCCAGCUGUGGCCUAAGGUUACAUCCAGAUGGACUAAUGCAAGUGAGAAGAGAUACGCAGAGGACAGUGAUGCUGUAACUUGUUUGAUUACGAUCCUUCUUCAUGGUUGGUAUUCGCACCUGUGCAGUCUCUCUGUCCUAAAAGACAAUGACUUGGCAUCACUUACCAUACUUCUCCUGUUCCUUUGAAACCCUUUAACAGUACAUCUGGAAAAAACAGUCUCUGCCGCUUCCUCAUCUGAAGAAACAAGUUGGUUGUUCAAAAAGUUCAUCUAAUUUCAAAUGUAGCAAGUUUAUGAAAAGGAAAGAGAACUGGAAAAAGAAGAUGUGUGAUCACACAUUGUUAACAAUGUCAGCUAAGUACUGGGACCACAAUUUCAGACACAAGGAUGGAACCAGGUCUAUGAUUCAUAUGUGAAUCAUUUCAUAGGUUGCACUGAAUGUCAACUUGUGAUCUGCCGACUUCAGAGAGGUGAUGAUUCAGCUCAAUGACCAAGGCACAAUAUGACAUCUGCAAGGGACUGCCUUUCCUCAUAGUACCUCAUGGAAAGUGUGGGACAAUUUGGCAGUCCGGACUGUGGAAGGGAAUGGAUCCAUGAACCAUUCACAGUGGCCUUGAGAAGCUGUAAGAACCAUCACAAGUUAGGAUAUAUUGUUCAGGCUUGAGCCAAGAUAACCACUUUAUGGGAACAGUUGUGUUUUUGUCAUUCACAGUCACAUCUCAGGUUCUCCUUUUGAUUACAUAGAUGUGUCUGUGCUUUUAUUGGGGUUCAGGUGUCCUGGUCCAUUAUUCUUUCAGUUUCCUGGAAGCCAUUCACAUGAAUCCUCAUUCAGCAGCUCUCAUCUGCACUGGGUAUUUGUCCUUACACCAGUACUCAGGAAGAAAAGAAAAAGCACAGCGUGGCAAUGAUUUACAAAGUCUGACAAAACACUAAAGCAAUAUUUCACACAUCACUCAGAUCAUGAAAGAGAGCUUAAUUUCUGGAGGGAACAGUAGCCAUCUAACUAAUUGAUUUAAGCAGAAAACUCACUGUCAAGGUCAGUCUAAAAACACAGUGAGGCAAGAUAUAUUUUAUUACAUAAAACCUCUCAGUGUUUUAAUUUGAUUAUGUUAUUAGUUCCAUGUAAGUGUAUUAACUAAGAAGGCAUGAUUAACUGAAUAAAUUUUAGAAGUGAUGAGGAGGCUGGUGUCGACAGUAGCAGUUCAACUAUUAGAAUCCAGACACUCUGUUUUUACCUAUGAAGGAAAAAAAAAAUAUAUAUAUAUAUAUAUUCUAAGGUGGAACUUCUCAGAAGACACCUGAAAAAUCUAUCAUGGGAAAGGAACACUUCUGGGAUUUCUUCUUUGUCUAGACAGGGAGAAGCCUCUGAUCAAACAACAGAAAAAAAAAAAAAAAAAAAAAAAAAAAGGACAGCUAGCAGUUUUUUGAAGGUCAAAUUAACCUUGGAAAAUAAAUCUGGGGAAGGUUGCUCUAAAACAAAUUCCAACAGCAGAGAGCAGCACUGCCAUGAGGUCCUAUCUGAAAAAUCUUCGGACACUGACAACUCAUGUUCCCAUUAAAAACAAACAAACAAAAAAGCACUAUAUGUAUUUUUAUAGUUUAAAUAUAAUCAAAAUUGUCUCUGCUUCAAGUUUACCUGAGGACUUAAAGGGUGAGACUGAAUUCCAUUGUGUCACCAUGAUAAUCUGUCGAUCACUUUAAAAACAAAUGCUUCUUCAACAAAUAAAGAAUGCUGCUAUGAAAUUCAGUAUUUUUUCUUUCUUUCCCCCCCCUGCUGCCCUUCUACUUUGGGGCAUUCAGCUGCUCCUUAUAAAUCUCUUAGAAUUUCAGCCAACCUUCUGAUUUUAAAUGUUCUCUUUGUGGAAGGAAAAAGCUGAGAACAUUAAGAAGUAGAUUAUAUCUGUCUGGGCAACAAAACCCAAGCACACUAUUUUGGAGAAUGUAAAAAAAUAAUCCAGUGAUUUAGAAAGAUGAAAUCAAUGUACCUAUGAAGGAAUUGCAUGUACAUAUAUAAUUUGAUCUAUGUUUGUGUGGAUUUAAAAUAAAAUCACGGGUCCCUUAAAGUUAACAGCAAAUGUCACCUGUUUGUAAGGAGGCCUUGAUGUUGCCUUUGAUAUUCUAUCUGCAAGGGGUCAGGGCUGCUCAGCUUUGGCACUGGUGGAAGAGGCCACGUUCACCCUUAAGCCAGUCCUGAGAUUGUAGAAGGGAAAGCAAGACAGACUGAAGUGACAUGGCAAGAAAAUACUCUCUCUGACUACAGAGCAUAGAAUAACAGAAUUGUAGGAGUUGGAAUGGACUUCUAGAGUUCAUCGAUGCCAACCCCCUGCUAAAGCAGUUCUCUAUAGUAGAUUACACAGGAAAGCAUCCAGGCAGAAUCUUGAAUAUCUCCAGAGCAGGAGACUCCACGGCCUCUCUGGGCUGCCUGAUCCAGUGCUCCAUCACUCUCACAGGAAGUUCUUUGUCACGUUCCUUUCAAACUACCUUGUUCCAGUUUGUUCCCAUUGUCUCCUGUCCUGCCACUGGGCACCACCAAAAUAAAGAAACUCAGCCUUCUCAUCUCCAUCCUGAACAGUCUCUGGUCUCUCAGCCUUUCCUCUUAAGAGAGAUGCUCCAGACCUGUAAGCAUCUUUGUGGCCACCUGCUAGACUCUCUCUGGUCGUUCCCUAUCCAUCUUGAACUGAGGAGCCCAGAAUUGGACACAAUAUUCUAGAUGUCACCUCACCUGGGCAGAGUAGGGUGGAAGGAUCACAUCCCUCCACCUGCUGACCAUGUUCUUUAUAAUACACCCCAGGACAUCAUCGGUCUUCUUGGCCACAAGGGCACACUGCUGGCUCAUGGCCAACCUGUUGUCCACGAGGACAUCCAGGUCCUUCUCUGCAGAGCUCCACUCCAGCAGAUCAUCCCCUAACCAGUAAUAAUGCAUGCAGUUAUUCCUACUCAGUUGCAGGACUCUACGCUUUCUCUUGUUGAACCUCAUUAGGUUCCUCUCUGCCCGACUCAGCAG
ensembl:lncRNA